UACAGAGGGUGCGAGCGUUAAUCGGAAUUACUGGGCGUAAAGCGUGCGUAGACGGCUAUCUAAGUCGGGUGUGAAAGCCCCGGGCUCAACCUGGGAAUUGCAUUCGAGACUGAAUAGCUAGGGUACGGUAGAGGGAAGCGGAAUUUCCGGUGUAGCGGUGAAAUGCGUAGAUAAUCGGAAGGAACAUCAGUGGCGAAAAGCGGCUUCCUGGAC
rnacentral:rRNA from 1 species